GUCCACGCUGUAAACGAUGAGAGCUAGUUGUCGGCACGCAUGCGUGUCGGUGACGCAGCUAACGCAUUAAGCUCUCCGCCUGGGGAGUACGGCCGCAAGGUUAAAACUCAAAGAAAUUGACGGGGGCCCCGCACAAGCGGUGGAGCAUGUGGUUUAAUUCGAAGCAACGCGAAGAACCUUACCCACGUUUGACAUGUCUAGUUUGGUCGUCAGAGAUGACUUCCUUCAGUUCGGCUGGCUAGAACACAGGUGCUGCAUGGCUGUCGU
rnacentral:rRNA from 1 species